UUUUACAAUGGAGAGUUUGAUCCUGGCUCAGGAUGAACGCUAGCUACAGGCUUAACACAUGCAAGUCGCGGGGCAGCAUAGUGAUUGCUUGCAAUUACUGAUGGCGACCGGCGCACGGGUGAGUAACGCGUAUCCAACCUACCCUUUACUACGGGAUAACCCGGCGAAAGUCGGACUAAUACCGUAUGUAGUCCAUUGACGGCAUCCGAUUUGGACCAAAGGCUUAGCGGUAAAGGAGGGGGAUGCGUCCGAUUAGCUUGACGGCGGGGUAACGGCCCACCGUGGCCACGAUCGGUAGGGGUUCUGAGAGGAAGGUCCCCCACACUGGAACUGAGA
rnacentral:rRNA from 1 species